rnacentral:sRNA from 1 species
CCUCCAAAGGUUUACCCACCUGUCCCAGCUGAGAAGAGGAAGCCCAUCCGGGUGCUGUCUCUCUUUGAUGGAAUCGCUACAGAUCCAGGAGUGGGGCCCAUUCGAUCUGGUGAUUGGGGGCAGUCCCUGCAAUGACCUCUCCAUCGUCAACCCUGCUCGCAAGGGCCUCUACGAGGGCACUGGCCGGCUCUUCUUUGAGUUCUACCGCCUCCUGCAUGAUGCGCGGCCCAAGGAGGGAGAUGAUCGCCCCUUCUUCUGGCUCUUUGAGAAUGUGGUGGCCAUGGGCGUUAGUGACAAGAGGGACAUCUCGCGAUUUCUCGAGUCCAACCCUGUGAUGAUUGAUGCCAAAGAAGUGUCAGCUGCACACAGGGCCCGCUACUUCUGGGGUAACCUUCCCGGUAUGAACAGGCCGUUGGCAUCCACUGUGAAUGAUAAGCUGGAGCUGCAGGAGUGUCUGGAGCAUGGCAGGAUAGCCAAGUUCAGCAAAGUGAGGACCAUUACUACGAGGUCAAACUCCAU